GCCCAGAGAACGGAAUCUUGCCAACAACCGCUGAGUGAGCUUGGAAGCCAAUCCUACCCCAGUUGAACUUGGAGUUGAACCUUGCAGCCUCUGCCUACAUCCUGACUGAAGCCUUGCAAAAGACCCUGCUGAGCAAGAGACCCAGCUGCCACACAGCCUGACGGGGAGGCACUCCUGAGUUUUGGUCUUUCGGUCUACACAGCUCUUCUCUUGACCAUCCAGUUACAAUGCAGCUGAUUAGAUCCCUGCCUCCUACAGGCAUCUCCCAGCUCACGACCCUCUGACCGCACUGAUUGGAUUGCAUCAUUUCCAAGUCUCAAGCAGAUGGUUCUACUGUCCACCCUAUGCUGACAGCUCAAUCUUGUCCCAGUAACUGCAGUACUGUUAGCUCAAGGUUGCGCGUGAGUGAAUCUGGAAAAGGUCUCAUGACACGGGAACACAGCCUCCAGUUUUUGCAUGAAACUGUACUCUGAGCUUUAAAGUAUGGAUGCCUUUCCAUUUGAUGAGGAUGCGUAACAGGUGCUGGGCUCACACGAGAAUCAGGAAGGAGCUGACAGGUAGUCUGGCGAUGACUGACCACAAACAGGUUUAUAGCCCAGCCCAGGGCAAACUUUCCUUCUAUAUCUUCAGGAUCUGCUCCCUUUUCAAUGAUUUCUUACCCACAUGAAAUAAGUGUAUUUCUUAUAUUCAGGACAAAGUUUCAAGCUUUAAGUUAAGGAAUGUAAGAGCUGCUGGGAUUCCCUCUUAAAAUUUUUGUAUGAAAAGGAAGCCACCAUCAUCUUUCUUUAUUCUCUUCCCACUUAAAUCAUGGCUAUUAUUUUACAACCUGUGAACAGAAGCCAGAC